rnacentral:misc_RNA from 1 species
UUUCCGUAGGUGAACCUGCGGAAGGAUCAUUCAUAAUAAGUGUUUUACUGCACUUUUUAAACAUAGUACUCACCUUGUGCGCAAUGUUGUGUUUCUUUUCGGAGAAACACCUACACCAACCUAUAACCUUGAACCACUUUGUCUGAAAAACUAUUAUGAAUACUUAAUUCAGAAUACAACUUUCAACAACGGAUCUCUUGGCUCUC